rnacentral:misc_RNA from 1 species
GGUUCUUCCCUUCACUACAACUGUGCACCCUUGUGCAAUUACAGCUCCAAGGUUGGUUGUGAAAAUGUCUGCAAUGGCCACCAAGAAUGCAGGUAGAACAGUGGAGUCAUUAGUAGUGAAGCCACCAGCACACCCCACUUAUGAUUUAAAGGGUGUUAUUCAACUUGCCCUCUCUGAAGAUGCUGGGGAUUUAGGAGAUGUGUCUUGUAAGGCGACAAUUCCUGUUGACUUGGAAUCCGAAGCUUACUUUAUAGCAAAGGAAGAUGGGAUUGUAGCAGGAAUUGCACUUGCUGAGAUGAUAUUCGCGGAAGUUGAUCCUUUACUAAAGGUGGAGUGGUUUGUAAAGGAUGGUGAUAAAGUUCAUAAAGGCUUGAAAUUUGGCAAAGUACAAGGAAAGGCUCACAACAUUGUUAUAGCUGAGAGGGUGGUUCUUAAUUUUAUGCAAAGAAUGAGUGGAAUAGCUACGCUAACUAAGGCAAUGGCAUAUGCUGCACACCCUGCUUACAUAUUGGAGACUAGGAAGACGGCUCCAGGAUUGCGUUUGGUGGAUAAAUGGGCGGUGUUGAUCGGUGGGGGUAAGAAUCACAGAAUGGGAUUAUUUGAUAUGGUAAUGAUAAAAGACAAUCACAUAUCUGCUGCUGGAGGUGUCAGCAAAGCUCUAGAAUCUGUGGAUCAGUAUUUGGAGCAAAAUAAACUGCAAAUGGGGGUUGAGGUUGAAACCAGGACUCUUGCAGAAGUACAUGAGGUUCUAGAAUAUGCAGCUCAAACAAAGACUUCAUUGACUAGGAUAAUGCUGGACAAUAUGGUUAUUCCAUUAUCUAACGGGGAUGUUGAGGUAUCCAUGCUUAAGGAAGCUGUAGAUUUGAUUAAGGGGAGGUUUGAGACCGAGGCGUCAGGAAAUGUUACCCUUGAAACAGUGCACGCGAUUGGACAAACUGGUGUUACCUACAUUUCUAGCGGUGCCUUAACACAUUCUGUGAAAGCACUUGACAUUUCUCUGAAAAUCGACACAGAGCUCGCCCUUGAAGUUGGACGACGUACAAAACGAGCAUGAUCAUUGAUUAUACUUUGUUGUAGACUCAAAAGUGUAGAAGCAGCAGUAUAGCACAAUGUGAAAAUAAGAUUCAUUGUAUGCUAAUUCAGAGUACCACUGUUCAAUCAGACAAAAAGAUAUAAGUUUCACCUAUAGCUUGCUGUCAUAAUUCAUAAAUUGGUUACAAUGAAG